GUGGGGAAUCUUGCGCAAUGGGCGAAAACCUGACGCAGCCAUGCCGCGUGAAUGAUGAAGGUCUUAGGAUUGUAAAAUUCUUUCACCGGGGACGAUAAUGACGGUACCCGGAGAAGAAGCCCCGGCUAACUUCGUGCCAGCAGCCGCGGUAAUACGAAGGGGGCUAGCGUUGCUCGGAAUUACUGGGCGUAAAGGGCGCGUAGGCGGACAGUUUAGUCAGAGGUGAAAGCCCAGGGCUCAACCUUGGAAUUGCCUUUGAUACUGGCUGUCUUGAGUACGGGAGAGGUGAGUGGAACUCCGAGUGUAGAGGUGAAAUUCGUAGAUAUUCGGAAGAACACCAGUGGCGAAGGCGACUCACUGGCCCGUUACUGACGCUGAGGCGCGAAAGCGUGGGGAGCAAACAGGAUUAGAAACCCUUGUAGUCC
rnacentral:rRNA from 1 species